rnacentral:rRNA from 1 species
CAAUAGCGUAUAUUAAAGUUGUUGCAGUUAAAAAGCUCGUAGUUGGAUUUCUGGUAGGAUGACUGUGCUCUCAGUAGAGUGUGCGCUGGCGUCUUGCCAUCCUUCUGUUAACCUUUGGGAGCUUCACCGCUCCCUUUGGGGCUCAGAUAUUUUACCUUGAGAAAAUUAGAGUGUUUCAGGCAGGCUAGCGCCGGAAUACAUUAGCAUGGAAUAAUGGAAUAGGACUUUUGCCUCUUCUGUUGGUCAUGGGGUUCGAGUAAUGAUUAAUAGGGAUAGUUGGGGGCAUUAGUACUUCACUGUCAGAGGUGAAAUUCUCGGAUUUGUGAAAGACUAACUUAUGCGAAAGCAUUUGCCAAGGAUGUUUUCAUUAA